GACGAACGCUGGCGGCGUGCUUAACACAUGCAAGUCGAACGGAAAGGCCCUGCUUUUGUGGGGUGCUCGAGUGGCGAACGGGUGAGUAACACGUGAGUAACCUGCCCUUGACUUUGGGAUAACUUCAGGAAACUGGGGCUAAUACCGGAUAGGAGCUCCUGCUGCAUGGUGGGGGUUGGAAAGUUUCGGCGGUUGGGGAUGGACUCGCGGCUUAUCAGCUUGUUGGUGGGGUAGUGGCGUACCAAGGCUUUGACGGGUAGCCGGCCUGAGAGGGUGACCGGCCACAUUGGGACUGAGAUACGGCCCAGACUCCUACGGGAGGCAGCAGUGGGGAAUAUUGCACAAUGGGCGGAAGCCUGAUGCAGCAACGCCGCGUGCGGGAUGACGGCCUUCGGGUUGUAAACCGCUUUCGCCUGUGACGAAGCGUGAGUGACGGUAAUGGGUGAAGAAGCACCGGCUAACUACGUG
rnacentral:rRNA from 1 species